GAUCCCAUUGGACCUGUGUCCCCCAGGACACUCUGCUGGUCAGGGGCAACUCAGUGUCCACCAGGACCCCCAGGUCAUUCUCCACAGUUGCUCCAGCAGCAAAUCUCUUCUCCGUUGAUUUUAGAGCAGACCACUGAGUGCUUGAUCCAUCUGUUUUGCAGGUCUUUGCCCCAAACGAGGAAAGGUGACUGUGGUGGUUUAUCAGAUGUGAUGUUGAUAUUGUCCAAGAGCUUGGAGAAAAGAACUGGCAAAAUGUGGUGUGAGUGUCUGGAAGGUGCGUGAAGAAAUGCUGGAGCUGCCAAAGCCAUCAGCCUGACAAAGGUGCUGCCUGUCCAUGUCCCCAGGUCAAGCCCAGAGUGUAUUUGGAAUUACACAAGUUAUCCUUACACCCUGAACACUGACAGGGACAAGGGACAGACAAAGGGACAACAAAGCCAGACACACAAUUUUUGUUGUCCCUUCACAGGAGAGAAGAGGUGGACUGGAAUUAAUCAUUAAAAAAAGGAAAAUAAAAACUGUUAUACAUGAAACAACAAAGUGAAGCUUUCAGAGAAGAGCUAUGCUUGCCUGCAUGUAGGAUCAGAACUUAAUAACAAAACUCAUUAAAAUUUAGGUAAUGAUUCAGGGCUCUCUUUAUCUGAAGGAGGGUUCAGGUGGCAGAUUCUGUUUCUUUCAACCAUUGCACAAGGAGGAGGGGAGAUCCUGGUCUGAAUUCCACUGGUAAUGUACCUCUUGUGGGAAUAUUCCUGCCAUGAUAUAACCAGUGACUACAUAAUAAUAUAUUUCAGAAAGUGGACUAAAUAUCGGCUGUGCUUAGCCUAAUAAAAUAAUCCAUUAAUGUCCAGCUAUACAAAUUUAAUUUACUGUAAUAGGGGGUUUUGCUACUUGAAAUCCCCUGGCCAUUAUCUUUACCUGAGAGGGAUCAAUCUCAGUUAAGCAGUUAGCACUUAAGAUAAAAUGAGAAUGGGAUUAAUGGGUUUAUACUGUGUUAUUUAAGAGCCAUUGGCAAAAAAAUUGCCCUCGGUCUGUGUGUGUAAUAUGACAUUUCUCCUUUGCUCCUCUGCUCCCUCAAUGCCUUUAAAAUAAUAGCAAUAAACAUAAACCUGGUAAGAGUGAGUAGAGAUUUUGAGCUGCUCAGGCCUUGCAGAGAUGAGCUUUAUCAGAGCCUAUCAGAGAUGAAUAAGUUUAUCUGCUCCCUUGUCUCUUUUUUGUGUUUCAGAAUUCCCUUUUGGAAGCACUUUCUGCGCACAUCCUUUGCUGUCUUUUAGGGUACAAUCUGGCAAAAUGACAUCAGUUAGGAAACUGGUGAAAACUGGAGUGAGAGCUACAAUCUGGAUAGGCAGCUCAGGGCAUCUUUAUCACCCUAGCUGUGCUAACAGGGUGCUGUUAAUGCUCCUGCAGCACUUGGAAAACACAAAGCUGUAGCUAAAAGGGUACAGGUAUCACUGAGCUGAGGUCAUUUGUUAGAUUUGGAAAAAUGUUUAAUUCAUAGAAGCAGAUAUUUUCGCUGUCAAUGGGAAAUAUAUAUCUUUAGGGUCCCUUCCAAUCCAAACCAGUCUGUGAUUCCAUUACAUUCACUGUUUCUUAUAAUGAAUAAACAUAGAAGUCUCUGUACUUGUAUAAAUCUAAUGCUUUGACUGAGUUAAUCCCAUUAUUCUUUUUUCCCCUGCACAUAGUUCAAGAUAUUAUGAUUUUUUCCAUUAUUAUGUUGGAA